CCUACGGGGGGCAGCAGUGAGGAAUAUUGGGCAAUGGAGGCAACUCUGACCCAGCCAUGCCGCGUGAGUGAAGAAGGUUUUCGGAUUGUAAAGCUCUUUCGGAUGUGACGAUGAUGACGGUAGCAUCUACAUAAGCCCCGGCUAACUUCGUGCCAGCAGCCGCGGUAAUACGAAGGGGGCAAGCGUUGUUCGGAAUUACUGGGCGGAAGGGGAGUGUAGGCGGUUUAGUAAGAUAGUGGUGAAAUCCCAGGGCUUAACUUUGGAAUUGCCAUUAUAACUAUUAGACUAGCAUUACAGAGAGGAUAGUGGAAUACCCAGUGUAGAGGUGAAAUGCGUAGAUAUUGGGUAGAACACCAGUGGCGAAGGCGACUAUCUGGCUGUACAUUGACGCUGAGGCUCGAAAGCAUGGGGAUCAAACAGGAUUAGAUACCCCAGUAGUC
rnacentral:rRNA from 1 species